rnacentral:rRNA from 1 species
CCGAGAAUAUUCGACAAUGGACGAAAGUCUGAUCGAGCGACACCGCGUGAUGGAUGAAGACCCUCUGGGUCGUAAACAUCUUUUUAUGAGGGAGAAAGUUUAUUGAUAGUACCUCACGAAUAAGGGGUUGCUAAACUCGUGCCAGCAGCAGCGGUAAUACGAGUGCCCCAAGCGUUAUCCGGAAUCAUUGGGCGUAAAGGGUGUGUAGGUGGUAAUGUUAGUCAGCUGUUAAACCCUGGGGCUCAACCCCAGAUCUGUGGCUGAAACGGCAUAACUAGAGGAUGGCAGGGAUGUAUGGAACUCAUGGAGUAGGGGUGAAAUCCGUUGAUAUCAUGGGGAACACCAAAAGCGAAGGCAGUACAUUGGGCCACUCCUGACACUGAAACACGAAAAGCGUAGGUAGCGAAUGGGAUUAGAUACCCAUGUAGUCCCUGAGCGGGCUGGCAAGGCGCAU